GCGGCGGACGGGUGAGUAACACGUGGAUAACCUACCUAUAAGACUGGGAUAACUUCGGGAAACCGGAGCUAAUACCGGAUAAUAUUUUGAACCGCAUGGUUCAAAAGUGAAAGACGGUCUUGCUGUCACUUAUAGAUGGAUCCGCGCUGCAUUAGCUAGUUGGUAAGGUAACGGCUUACCAAGGCAACGAUGCAUAGCCGACCUGAGAGGGUGAUCGGCCACACUGGAACUGAGACACGGUCCAGACUCCUACGGGAGGCAGCAGUAGGGAAUCUUCCGCAAUGGGCGAAAGCCUGACGGAGCAACGCCGCGUGAGUGAUGAAGGUCUUCGGAUCGUAAAACUCUGUUAUUAGGGAAGAACAUAUGUGUAAGUAACUGUGCACAUCUUGACGGUACCUAAUCAGAAAGCCACGGCUAACUACGUGCCAGCAGCCGCGGUAAUACGUAGGUGGCAAGCGUUAUCCGGAAUUAUUGGGCGUAAAGCGCGCGUAGGCGGUUUUUUAAGUCUGAUGUGAAAGCCCACGGCUCAACCGUGGAGGGUCAUUGGAAACUGGAAAACUUGAGUGCAGAAGAGGAAAGUGGAAUUCCAUGUGUAGCGGUGAAAUGCGCAGAGAUAUGGAGGAACACCAGUGGCGAAGGCGACUUUCUGGUCUGUAACUGACGCUGAUGUGCGAAAGCGUGGGGAUCAAACAGGAUUAGAUACCCUGGUAGUCCACGCCGUAAACGAUGAGUGCUAAGUGUUAGGGGGUUUCCGCCCCUUAGUGCUGCAGCUAACGCAUUAAGCACUCCGCCUGGGGAGUACGACCGCAAGGUUGAAACUCAAAGGAAUUGACGGGGACCCGCACAAGCGGUGGAGCAUGUGGUUUAAUUCGAAGCAACGCGAAGAACCUUACCAAAUCUUGACAUCCUUUGACAACUCUAGAGAUAGAGCU
rnacentral:rRNA from 1 species